CGGACGGGUGAGUAACACGUGGGUAACCUACCUAUAAGACUGGGACAACUUCGGGAAACCGGAGCUAAUACCGGAUAAUAUGUUGAACCGCAUGGUUCAAUAGUGAAAGAUGGUUUUGCUAUCACUUAUAGAUGGACCCGCGCCGUAUUAGCUAGUUGGUGAGGUAACGGCUCACCAAGGCAACGAUACGUAGCCGACCUGAGAGGGUGAUCGGCCACACUGGAACUGAGACACGGUCCAGACUCCUACGGGAGGCAGCAGUAGGGAAUCUUCCGCAAUGGGCGAAAGCCUGACGGAGCAACGCCGCGUGAGUGAUGAAGGUCUUAGGAUCGUAAAACUCUGUUAUUAGGGAAGAACAAACGUGUAAGUAACUGUGCACGUCUUGACGGUACCUAAUCAGAAAGCCACGGCUAACUACGUGCCAGCAGCCGCGGUAAUACGUAGGUGGCAAGCGUUAUCCGGAAUUAUUGGGCGUAAAGCGCGCGUAGGCGGUUUUUUAAGUCUGAUGUGAAAGCCCACGGCUCAACCGUGGAGGGUCAUUGGAAACUGGAAAACUUGAGUGCAGAAGAGGAAAGUGGAAUUCCAUGUGUAGCGGUGAAAUGCGCAGAGAUAUGGAGGAACACCAGUGGCGAAGGCGACUUUCUGGUCUGUAACUGACGCUGAUGUGCGAAAGCGUGGGGAUCAAACAGGAUUAGAUACCCUGGUAGUCCACGCCGUAAACGAUGAGUGCUAAGUGUUAGGGGGUUUCCGCCCCUUAGUGCUGCAGCUAACGCAUUAAGCACUCCGCCUGGGGAGUACGACCGCAAGUUG
rnacentral:rRNA from 1 species